rnacentral:rRNA from 1 species
AUUGAACGCUGGCGGCAGGCCUAACACAUGCAAGUCGAGCGGAUGAAGGGAGCUUGCUCCUGGAUUCAGCGGCGGACGGGUGAGUAAUGCCUAGGAAUCUGCCUGGUAGUGGGGGAUAACGUCCGGAAACGGGCGCUAAUACCGCAUACGUCCUGAGGGAGAAAGUGGGGGAUCUUCGGACCUCACGCUAUCAGAUGAGCCUAGGUCGGAUUAGCUAGUUGGUGGGGUAAAGGCCUACCAAGGCGACGAUCCGUAACUGGUCUGAGAGGAUGAUCAGUCAAACGGGAACUGAGACACGGUCCAGACUCCUACGGGAGGCAGCAGUGGGGAAUAUUGGACAAUGGGCGAAAGCCUGAUCCAGCCAUGCCGCGUGUGUGAAGAAGGUCUUCGGAUUGUAAAGCACUUUAAGUUGGGAGGAAGGGCAGUAAGUUAAUACCUUGCUGUUUUGACGUUACCAACAGAAUAAGCACCGGCUAACUUCGUG